UUGAGCAUGAUUUUUCAGGACAUUUACUGUCCGCCCCUGAGACGCAGCACCAGGUGGAGGGUGGACUCUUUCUGGAUGUUGUAGUCGGACAGGGUGCGGCCAUCUUCCAGCUGCUUGCCAGCAA